rnacentral:rRNA from 1 species
UACGGGGGGGGCAAGCGUUGUUCGGAAUUACUGGGCGUAAAGGGCUCGUAGGCGGCCAACUAAGUCAUACGUGAAAUCCCUCGGCUUAACCGGGGAACUGCGUCUGAUACUGGAUGGCUUGAGUGUGGGAGAGGGAUGCGGAAUUCCAGGUGUAGCGGUGAAAUGCGUAGAUAUCUGGAGGAACACCGGUGGCGAAGGCGGCAUCCUGGACCACGACUGACGCUGAGGAGCGAAAGCCAGGGGAGCAAACGGG